GACGAGGGACCUAGCGUUGUUCGGAAUCAUUGGGCGUAAAGCGGGUGUAGGCGGAUCUAUAAGUCAGGUGUGAAAUCCCGGGGCUCAACCCUGGAAGUGCAUUUGAUACUGUAGAUCUUGAAUGUGGUAGAGGUUACUGGAAUUGUUGGUGUAGUGGUGAAAUACGUAGAUAUCAACAGGAAUACCGGAGGCGAAGGCGAGUAACUGGGCCAACAUUGACGCUGAGAUCCGAAAGUGUGGGGAUCAAACAGG
rnacentral:rRNA from 1 species